rnacentral:rRNA from 1 species
AUUGAACGCUGGCGGUAGGCCUAACACAUGCAAGUCGAACGCGAAAGUCCUUCGGAUGAGUAGAGUGGCGGACGGGUGGAGUAACGCGUAGGAAUCUAUCCUGUAGUGGGGGAGUAACGUUUCGAAAGGAACGCUAAUAUCGCAUACGCCCCAAGGGGGAAAGGCGGGGAGUCUUCGGACCUCGUGCUAUAGGAGGAGCCUGCGUCGGAUUAGCUAGUUGGUGAGGUAAAGGCUCACCAAGGCGACGAUCCGUAGCUGGUCUGAGAGGAUGAUCAGCCACACCGGAACUGAGACACGGUCCGGACUCCUACGGGAGGCAGCAGUGGGGAAUAUUGCGCAAUGGGCGAAAGCCUGACGCAGCCAUACCGCGUGUGUGAAGAAGGCCUCGGUUGUAAGAC